UGUUUCGGCAAGGGGGUCAUCCCGACUUACCAACCCGAUGCAAACUGCGAAUACCGGAGAAUGUUAUCACGGGAGACACACGGCGGGUGCUAACGUCCGUCGUGAAGAGGGAAACAACCCAGACCGCCAGCUAAGGUCCCAAAGUCAUGGUUAAGUGGGAAACGAUGUGGGAAGGCCCAGACAGCCAGGAUGUUGGCUUAGAAGCAGCCAUCAUUUAAAGAAAGCGUAAUAGCUCACUGGUCGAGUCGGCCUGCGCGGAAGAUGUAACGGGGCUAAACCAUGCACCGAAGCUGCGGCAGCGACGCUGAUGCGUUGUUGGGUAGGGGAGCGUUCUGUAAGCCUGUGAAGGUGUGCUGUGAGGCAUGCUGGAGGUAUCAGAAGUGCGAAUGCUGACAUAAGUAACGAUAAAGCGGGUGAAAAGCCCGCUCGCCGGAAGACCAAGGGUUCCUGUCCAACGUUAAUCGGGGCAGGGUGAGUCGACCCCUAAGGCGAGGCCGAAAGGCGUAGUCGAUGGGAAACAGGUUAAUAUUCCUGUACUUGGUGUUACUGCGAAGGGGGGACGGAGAAGGCUAUGUUGGCCGGGCGACGGUUGUCCCGGUUUAAGCGUGUAGGCUGGUUUUCCAGGCAAAUCCGGAAAAUCAAGGCUGAGGCGUGAUGACGAAGCACUACGGUGCUGAAGCAACAAAUGCCCUGCUUCCAGGAAAAGCCUCUAAGCAUCAGGUAACAUCAAAUCGUACCCCAAACCGACACAGGUGGUCAGGUAGAGAAUACCAAGGCGCUUGAGAGAACUCGGGUGAAGGAACUAGGCAAAAUGGUGCCGUAACUUCGGGAGAAGGCACGCUGAUAUGUAGGUGAAGUCCCUUGCGGAUGGAGCUGAAAUCAGUCGAAGAUACCAGCUGGCUGCAACUGUUUAUUAAAAACACAGCACUGUGCAAACACGAAAGUGGACGUAUACGGUGUGACGCCUGCCCGGUGCCGGAAGGUUAAUUGAUGGGGUCAGCGCAAGCGAAGCUCUUGAUCGAAGCCCCGGUAAACGGCGGCCGUAACUAUAACGGUCCUAAGGUAGCGAAAUUCCUUGUCGGGUAAGUUCCGACCUGCACGAAUGGCGUAAUGAUGGCCAGGCUGUCUCCACCCGAGACUCAGUGAAAUUGAACUCGCUGUGAAGAUGCAGUGUACCCGCGGCAAGACGGAAAGACCCCGUGAACCUUUACUAUAGCUUGACACUGAACAUUGAGCCUUGAUGUGUAGGAUAGGUGGGAGGCUUAGAAGUGUGGACGCCAGUCUGCAUGGAGCCGACCUUGAAAUACCACCCUUUAAUGUUUGAUGUUCUAACGUUGACCCGUAAUCCGGGUUGCGGACAGUGUCUGGUGGGUAGUUUGACUGGGGCGGUCUCCUCCUAAAGAGUAACGGAGGAGCACGAAGGUUGGCUAAUCCUGGUCGGACAUCAGGAGGUUAGUGCAAUGGCAUAAGCCAGCUUGACUGCGAGCGUGACGGCGCGAGCAGGUGCGAAAGCAGGUCAUAGUGAUCCGGUGGUUCUGAAUGGAAGGGCCAUCGCUCAACGGAUAAAAGGUACUCCGGGGAUAACAGGCUGAUACCGCCCAAGAGUUCAUAUCGACGGCGGUGUUUGGCACCUCGAUGUCGGCUCAUCACAUCCUGGGGCUGAAGUAGGUCCCAAGGGUAUGGCUGUUCGCCAUUUAAAGUGGUACGCGAGCUGGGUUUAGAACGUCGUGAGACAGUUCGGUCCCUAUCUGCCGUGGGCGCUGGAGAACUGAGGGGGGCUGCUCCUAGUACGAGAGGACCGGAGUGGACGCAUCACUGGUGUUCGGGUUGUCAUGCCAAUGGCACUGCCCGGUAGCUAAAUGCGGAAGAGAUAAGUGCUGAAAGCAUCUAAGCACGAAACUUGCCCCGAGAUGAGUUCUCCCUGACUCCUUGAGAGUCCUGAAGGAACGUUGAAGACGACGACGUUGAUAGGCCGGGUGUGUAAGCGCAGCGAUGCGUUGAGCUAACCGGUACUAAUGAACCGUGAGG
rnacentral:rRNA from 1 species